CGGGAGGCAGCAGUGGGGAAUAUUGCACAAUGGGGGAAACCCUGAUGCAGCAACGCCGCGUGGAGGAUGACACAUUUCGGUGCGUAAACUCCUUUUAUAUGGGAAGAUAAUGACGGUACCAUAUGAAUAAGCACCCGGCUAACUUC
rnacentral:rRNA from 1 species